UGGGGUCAUUUCUGGGGAUUUUGGGGUUGGAUUUUGAGGCUAUUUGGGGAGAAAUCUUGGGACCAUUUGGGGUUGGAUUUUGAGGCUGUUUGGGGAAGGAUUUUGGGACCAUUUGGGGUUGGAUUUUGGGGCAAUUUAUGGGAAUUUUGAGGCUGUUUGGGGUUGGAUUUUGGGGCCAUUUAUGGGAAUUUUGGGACCACUUGGGGUUGGAUUUUGGGGUCGUUUACGGGAAUUUUGGGGCAAUUUGUGGGGAUUUUGGGGAGGGAUUUUGAGGCCAUUUGGGGUUGGAUUUUGGGGCAAUUUAUGGGAAUUUUGAGGCUGUUUGGGGGUUGGAUUUUGGGGUUGUUUGUGGGGAUUUUGGGGUUAUUUAGGGAGAAAUCUUGGGGUCAUUUGAGGUUGGAUUUUGGGGUUGUUUGAGGAAGGAUUUUGGGGCCAUUUCUGGGCAUUUUGGGGAGGGAUUUUGGGGUUAUUUGGGGUUGGAUUUGGGGGAGGGAUUUUGGGAUCAUUUGUGGGGAUUUUUGGGAGGGAUUUUGGGGUUAUUUUGGGGGAUUUUAGGGUUGGAUUUUGGGGCUGUUUUGGGAAGGAUUUUGGGGCCAUUUCUGGGCAUUUUGGGGAGAAAUUUUGGGGGAUUUUUAACCUGUUUGCAGGGAUUUUAGGGCAUUGAGAUUUCAAGGGAAGGGAUUUGGGCUUGAGGGAUUUGGGGAGGGGUCCCGGGGGUCCUCACCUCGGCCGAUGACCAGCCCACACUUGUGGGUGGGGAUUUUGGGGCCAUUGAUGGGGAUUUUUGGGGUCAUUUAUGGGGAUUUUGGGGAGGGAUUUUGGGGCC
rnacentral:lncRNA from 1 species